AAAAUCCAUUUUCAAAAAUCGAAAACAGGCAUCUUUAAGAAAGGCUAUUGGUAGUUUACUAGAUUGGCUUUUUCUUCCAUUUUUAAUCAUGUCCAGAAUUGUCUCGUCGCACACAUCAUUUAGGGGAAGACCUUUAAACGUGCUUGUGCACAUCUUCUAUUCAACUCCUUGGAAUACAACAACUUAAAUAUUGAGCAAACGAAUAGGGAAGAAAUUGGAAAUCUACCAAAUGAUGCACAUCCCAGUUGAAAGUUGUAACUACCAGGAAAGCUGAAUAAUAGGUGAUCAAACUUAACAGUAAACAUCGAAGAGAGUGACACCUCAAAUAUGCAAUAUACUUCCAUGCCUUUUCAGAACUAUCGUGUGAUCCAUGUAAAUAGAACUUAAAUGUGGCAUUAGAUUGUUCUGAUACUAUAAUCCUACAAAAUUCUUCUGUCCCUUGGAUGUCAAAGGACUUCCAACUACUCAUAAACGCUGCCACAAGUGCUACUUUCUCAAAUUUACAAUAUAAUUUCAAUUCUGCCUAAAACAACAUAUACUGGAACAUGUCAUCGCUCUGGAACUUUGGGCAAAAGCAACACCCUAUGUGCUCACCAACUGUGGAGGCAAUCAGCAUCAAAAGUGUAUUCCAGUGUUUCUGCAGAUAUAACUUAAUCUGAGUAAGUCGCAUAAUUGAAAANCCAAAAGUGUUAUUCACCGGAUAUCAAGUGACACUGAGAACUCCAUUUAACAGUUUCUAGGCUUUAUCAGGAUCAAGAAUUCAAAUGUAGAGAGAGAUAUUUUAAAAAAUCAUCCCUCUGUUUCCUAUAUUCUUGAUUUUUCUUUGUGAGUUCUAACAGAAAGCUGUUUCAGAAGAGUACCUUCGGCGCUCUAUAGCAAAACCAUAAAGAACUGCAUUUGCCGCCAUUUUCUUUACUUCUAAUGUUAAUAUACUACAAAAAC
rnacentral:lncRNA from 1 species